AAUUCCCUCCCAUGAACCCUCUCUGGUAUGGCCUUCUCGGCUUCUGGAUGACUGUCAUGGGAACGCUGUCUGUUGCUGGUAACUUUGUUGUCAUCUGGGUAUUCAUGAAUACCAAGAGUCUACGAACACCUGCCAACCUGUUAGUCGUCAACCUGGCCAUCUCCGACUUCUUCAUGAUGCUUACCAUGACUCCUCCUCUUCUGGUCAAUGCUUAUUGGGGAACGUGGGUUUUCG
rnacentral:misc_RNA from 1 species